GACGAACCGAGCGAACGUUGUUCGGAAUCACUGGGCUUAAAGGGCGCGUAGGCGGGCUGCCAAGUUUGGGGUGAAAUCCUCCGGCUCAACCGGAGCAGUGCCUCGAAUACUGGCGGUCUCGAGGGAGGUAGGGGCGUGCGGAACUGUGGGUGGAGCGGUGAAAUGCGUUGAUAUCCACAGGAACUCCGGUGGCGAAGGCGGCACGCUGGGCCGAUACUGACGCUGAGGAGCGAAAGCGUGGGGAGCGAACAGG
rnacentral:rRNA from 1 species